rnacentral:lncRNA from 1 species
UGCCUUUUGGCAAGAAGGUGAAUCUGUUGCCAUGGGGCUCCAAUUGGAACUAUUAUAGGUAGCAGAGAGGUCCUAUCACUGCUUCCAUUUAACACAGGAAUCUUAACUGAGUAGCAUUCAUUUACAUUUGAUUUCUUUGAUGCCUGAUCUAUGGAGUUAGAGAUGUUCAUAGUAAAAACACCAUCAAAAAGAGGAUGGUCCAUUGAAUUAGAGUGCUGUAACGCUCUGCUCUGCAACCUUGACGAUAAAGUUUUAAUGAAAUCAAACAAACUCAAGAUCACAUACUGAUCAAGU